rnacentral:rRNA from 1 species
UUAAGUUCAGGGAUUAACCUCGCGAAAGUGAAGGGUAACACCUGAUAAGGAGGGAUUCCUGAAAUGGAGCCUUCUUCAAACUCGUGCCUUAGGAUGGGCCGGGGGCAGAUUUAGGCUGUUGGCGGUGUAAUGGACCCACCAAACCGAAGAUCUGUACGGGCCCAUGAGAGGUGGUAGCCCCGGAGAGGGGACACUGAGAUACUGGUCCCCAGCCCUACGGGGUGCAGCAGGCGCGAAACCUUUUCAAUGCGCGAAAGCGUGAGAAGGGAAUUCCGAGUGCUCAAGCUUUGCUUGGGCUUUUGCUAAGUGUAAAAAGCUUGGCGAAUAAGGGGUGGGAAAGACCGGUGCCAGCCGCCGCGGUAACACCGGCGCCUCGAGUGGGGAUCGCGAUUAUUGGGCCUAAAGCGUUCGUAGCAGGUCUGGUAAAUCCUUUGUGAAAUCGGCAAGCCUAACUUGUCGGCGCGCAGGGGACACUGCAAGACUUGAGACCGGGAGAGGUCAGAAGUAUUCCUGGGGUACCGGUAAAAUGGGUUAAUCCCAGGAGGACUACCAAUGGCGAAGGCAUCUGACCAGAACGGUUCUGACUGUGAGGGACGAAAGCUAGGGGAGCAAAACGGAUUAGAUACCCGAGUAGUCCUAGCCGUAAACGCU